GGGGAAUAUUGCACAAUGGGGGAAACCCUGAUGCAGCAACGCCGCGUGAGUGAUGAAGGCCUUCGGGUUGUAAAGCUCUGUCUUCAGGGACGAUAAUGACGGUACCUGAGGAGGAAGCCACGGCUAACUACGUGCCAGCAGCCGCGGUAAUACGUAGGUGGCAAGCGUUGUCCGGAUUUACUGGGCGUAAAGGGAGUGUAGGUGGAUGCUUAAGUCAGAUGUGAAAUACCCGGGCUCAACUUGGGUGCUGCAUUUGAAACUGGGCGUCUAGAGUGCAGGAGAGGAAAGCGGAAUUCCUAGUGUAGCGGUGAAAUGCGUAGAGAUUAGGAAGAACACCAGUGGCGAAGGCGGCUUUCUGGACUGUAACUGACACUGAGGCUCGAAAGCGUGGGGAGCAAAC
rnacentral:rRNA from 1 species